CAUUACCGAGUGAGGGCCCUCUGGGUCCAACCUCCCACCCGUGUUUAACGAACCUUGUUGCUUCGGCGGGCCCGCCUCACGGCCGCCGGGGGGCAUCCGCCCCCGGGCCCGCGCCCGCCGAAGACACCUGUGAACACUGUCUGAAGUUGCAGUCUGAGAAACUAGCUAAAUUAGUUAAAACUUUCAACAACGGAUCUCUUGGUUCCGGCAUCGAUGAAGAACGCAGCGAAAUGCGAUAAAUAAUGUGAAUUGCAGAAUUCAGUGAAUCAUCGAGUCUUUGAACGCACAUUGCGCCCUCUGGUAUUCCGGAGGGCAUGCCUGUCCGAGCGUCAUUGCUGCCCUCAAGCACGGCUUGUGUGUUGGGCCCUCGUCCCCCCCACCGGGGGGACGGGCCCGAAAGGCAGCGGCGGCACCGCGUCCGGUCCUCGAGCGUAUGGGGCUCUGUCACCCGCUCUUGUAGGCCCGGCCGGCGCCAGCCGACCCCCCUCAAUCUAUUUUUUCAGGUUGACCUCGGAUCAGGUAGGGAUACCCGCUGAACUUAAGCAUAUCAAUAAGCGGAGGAAAAGAAACCAACCGGGAUUGCCCUAGUAACGGCGAGUGAAGCGGCAAGAGCUCAAAUUUGAAAGCUGGCCCCCUCGGGGUCCGCAUUGUAAUUUGCAGAGGAUGCUUCGGGAGCGGUCCCCAUCUAAGUGCCCUGGAACGGGCCGUCAUAGAGGGUGAGAAUCCCGUAUGGGGAUGGGGUGCCCGCGCCC
rnacentral:rRNA from 1 species